GAUGAACGCUGGCGGCGUGCCUAAUACAUGCAAGUCGAGCGAACAGACGAGGAGCUUGCUCCUCUGACGUUAGCGGCGGACGGGUGAGUAACACGUGGAUAACCUACCUAUAAGACUGGGAUAACUUCGGGAAACCGGAGCUAAUACCGGAUAAUAUAUUGAACCGCAUGGUUCAAUAGUGAAAGACGGUUUUGCUGUCACUUAUAGAUGGAUCCGCGCCGCAUUAGCUAGUUGGUAAGGUAACGGCUUACCAAGGCAACGAUGCGUAGCCGACCUGAGAGGGUGAUCGGCCACACUGGAACUGAGACACGGUCCAGACCCCUACGGGAGGCAGCAGUAGGAAAUCUUCCGCAAUGGGCGAAAGCCUGACGGAGCAACGCCGCGUGAGUGAUGAAGGUCUCGGAUCGUAAAACUCUGUUAUUAGGGAAGAACAAAUGUGUAAGUAACUAUGCACGUCUUGACGGUACCUAAUCAGAAAGCCACGGCUAACUACGUG
rnacentral:rRNA from 1 species